CCUACGGGAGGCAGCAGUGGGGAAUAUUGGACAAUGGGCGAAAGCCUGAUCCAGCCAUGCCGCGUGUGUGAAGAAGGCCUUCGGGUUGUAAAGCACUUUCAGUGGGGAAGAAAGCCUUGGGGCUAAUACCCUCGAGGAAGGACAUCACCCACAGAAGAAGCACCGGCUAACUCCGUGCCAGCAGCCGCGGUAAUACGGAGGGUGCGAGCGUUAAUCGGAAUUACUGGGCGUAAAGCGCGCGUAGGCGGUCUGAUAAGCCGGUUGUGAAAGCCCCGGGCUCAACCUGGGAACGGCAUCCGGAACUGUCAGGCUAGAGUGCAGGAGAGGAAGGUAGAAUUCCCGGUGUAGCGGUGAAAUGCGUAGAGAUCGGGAGGAAUACCAGUGGCGAAGGCGGUCUUCUGGACUGACACUGACGCUGAGGUGCGAAAGCGUGGGUAGCAAACAGGAUUAGAUAACCUUGUAGUC
rnacentral:rRNA from 1 species